rnacentral:rRNA from 1 species
ACUAAGCGUACACGGUGGAUGCCCUGGCAGUCAGAGGCGAUGAAGGACGUGCUAAUCUGCGAUAAGCGCCGGUAAGGUGAUAUGAACCGUUAUAACCGGCGAUUUCCGAAUGGGGAAACCCAGUGUGAUUCGUCACACUAUCAUUAACUGAAUCCAUAGGUUAAUGAGGCGAACCGGGGGAACUGAAACAUCUAAGUACCCCGAGGAAAAGAAAUCAACCGAGAUUCCCCCAGUAGCGGCGAGCGAACGGGGAGGAGCCCAGAGCCUGAAUCAGCAUGUGUGUUAGUGGAAGCGUCUGGAAAGGCGCGCGAUACAGGGUGACAGCCCCGUACACAAAAGCGCAUGUGUUGUGAGCUCGAUGAGUAGGGCGGGACACGUGGUAUCCUGUCUGAAUAUGGGGGGACCAUCCUCCAAGGCUAAAUACUCCUGACUGACCGAUAGUGAACCAGUACCGUGAGGGAAAGGCGAAAAGAACCCCGGCGAGGGGAGUGAAAAAGAACCUGAAACCGUGUACGUACAAGCAGUGGGAGCNUGAGGGAAAGGCGAAAAGAACCCCGGCGAGGGGAGUGAAAAAGAACCUGAAACCGUGUACGUACAAGCAGUGGGAGCCCCACCACUAAGCCAGUGGUGAACUCCACAUACGCAUCCUUUGCUGAGGAUACGGUUAACGGAGCGCAAGCGACGUUCAACCGCAAAAGAAGCAGAGGGGGCUUAGUGGUGGGGUGACUGCGUACCUUUUGUAUAAUGGGUCAGCGACUUAUAUUCUGUAGCAAGGUUAACCGUAUAGGGGAGCCGGAGGGAAACCGAGUCUUAACCGGGCGUUAAGUUGCAGGGUAUAGACCCGAAACCCGGUGAUCUAGCCAUGGGCAGGUUNAGGGAAACCGAGUCUUAACCGGGCGUUAAGUUGCAGGGUAUAGACCCGAAACCCGGUGAUCUAGCCAUGGGCAGGUUGAAGGUUGGGUAACACUAACUGGAGGACCGAACCGACUAAUGUUGAAAAAUUAGCGGAUGACCUGUGGCUGGGGGUGAAAGGCCAAUCAAACCGGGAGAUAGCUGGUUCUCCCCGAAAGCUAUUUAGGUAGCGCCUCGUGAAUUCAUCUCCGGGGGUAGAGCACUGUUUCGGCUAGGGGGCCAUCCCGGCUUACCAACCCGAUGCAAACUGCGAAUACCGGAGAAUGUUAUCACGGGAGACACACGGCGGGUGCUAACGUCCGUCGUGAAGAGGGAAACAACCCAGACCGCCAGCUAAGGUCCCAAAGUCAUGGUUAAGUGGGAAACGAUGUGGGAAGGCCCAGACAGCCAGGAUGUUGGCUUAGAAGCAGCCAUCAUUUAAAGAAAGCGUAAUAGCUCACUGGUCGAGUCGGCCUGCGCGGAAGAUGUAACGGGGCUAAACCAUGCACCGAAGCUGCGGCAGCGAGUAAUAGCUCACUGGUCGAGUCGGCCUGCGCGGAAGAUGUAACGGGGCUAAACCAUGCACCGAAGCUGCGGCAGCGAACGUAUCACUUAAAGCGAUUCAGCGGGUUACGAUUGACGGAGCGAAGCGACGUCAAAGCGUAUACAAAGUCGAGUCGGUUUAAGGAUACGUUCGUUGGGUAGGGGAGCGUUCUGUAAGCCUGUGAAGGUGUGUCGUGAGGCAUGCUGGAGGUAUCAGAAGUGCGAAUGCUNGUUGGGUAGGGGAGCGUUCUGUAAGCCUGUGAAGGUGGCCUGUGAGGGUUGCUGGAGGUAUCAGAAGUGCGAAUGCUGACAUAAGUAACGAUAAAGCGGGUGAAAAGCCCGCUCGCCGGAAGACCAAGGGUUCCUGUCCAACGUUAAUCGGGGCAGGGUGAGUCGACCCCUAAGGCGAGGCCGAAAGGCGUAGUCGAUGGGAAACGGGUUAAUAUUCCCGUACUUGGUGUUACUGCGAAGGGGGGACGGAGAAGGCUAUGUUGGCCGGGCGACGGUUGUCCCGGUUUAAGCGUGUAGGUGUGUGUUCCAGGUAAAUCCGGUUCACUUUAACACUGAGGCGUGAUGACGAGGCACUACGGUGCUGAAGCAACAAAUGCCCUGCUUCCAGGAAAAGCCUCUAAGCAUCAGGUAACAUCAAAUCGUACCCCAAACCGACACAGGUGGUCAGGUAGAGAAUACCAAGGCGCUUGAGAGAACUCGGGUGAAGGAACUAGGCAAAAUGGUGCCGUAACUUCGGGAGAAGGCACGCUGACAUGUAGGUGAAGUGAUUUACUCAUGGAGCUGAAGUCAGUCGAAGAUACCAGCUGGCUGCAACUGUUUAUUAAAAACACAGCACUGUGCAAACACGAAAGUGGACGUAUACGGUGUGACGCCUGCCCGGUGCCGGAAGGUUAAUUGAUGGGGUCAGCGCAAGCGAAGCUCCUGAUCGAAGCCCCGGUAAACGGCGGCCGUAACUAUAACGGUCCUAAGGUAGCGAAAUUCCUUGUCGGGUAAGUUCCGACCUGCACGAAUGGCGUAAUGAUGGCCAGGCUGUCUCCACCCGAGACUCAGUGAAAUUGAACUCGCUGUGAAGAUGCAGUGUACCCGCGGCAAGACGGAAAGACCCCGUGAACCUUUACUAUAGCUUGACACUGAACAUUGAGCCUUGAUGUGUAGGAUAGGUGGGAGGCUUUGAAGCGUGGACGCCAGUCUGCGUGGAGCCGGCCUUGAAAUACCACCCUUUAAUGUUUGAUGUUCUAACGUGGACCCGUGAUCCGGGUUGCGGACAGUGUCUGGUGGGUAGUUUGACUGGGGCGGUCUCCUCCUAAAGAGUAACGGAGGAGCACGAAGGUUGGCUAAUCCUGGUCGGACAUCAGGAGGUUAGUGCAAUGGCAUAAGCCAGCUUGACUGCGAGCGUGACGGCGCGAGCAGGUGCGAAAGCAGGUCAUAGUGAUCCGGUGGUUCUGAAUGGAAGGGCCAUCGCUCAACGGAUAAAAGGUACUCCGGGGAUAACAGGCUGAUACCGCCCAAGAGUUCAUAUCGACGGCGGUGUUUGGCACCUCGAUGUCGGCUCAUCACAUCCUGGGGCUGAAGUAGGUCCCAAGGGUAUGGCUGUUCGCCAUUUAAAGUGGUACGCGAGCUGGGUUUAGAACGUCGUGAGACAGUUCGGUCCCUAUCUGCCGUGGGCGCUGGAGAACUGAGGGGGGCUGCUCCUAGUACGAGAGGACCGGAGUGGACGCAUCACUGGUGUUCGGGUUGUCAUGCCAAUGGCACUGCCCGGUAGCUAAAUGCGGAAGAGAUAAGUGCUGAAAGCAUCUAAGCACGAAACUUGCCCCGAGAUGAGUUCUCCCUGAGACUUAGCUAAAUGCGGAAGAGAUAAGUGCUGAAAGCAUCUAAGCACGAAACUUGCCCCGAGAUGAGUUCUCCCUGAGACUUAGAGUCUCCUGAAGGAACGUUGAAGACGACGACGUUGAUAGGCCGGGUGUGUAAGCGCAGCGAUGCGUUGAGCUAACCGGUACUAAUGAACCGUGAGGCUUAACC